CCUACGGGUGGCAGCAGUGAGGAAUAUUGGUCAAUGGACGUAAGCCUGAACCAGCCAUGCCGCGUGAAGGAAGAAGGAUCUAUGAUUUGUAAACCGCUUUUGUAAGGGAGUAAAUCCCGAGACGUGUAUUGUUUUGAAUGUACCGUAUGAAUAAGGAUCGGCUAACUCCGUGCCAGCAGCCGCGGUAAUACGGAGGAUUCAAGCGUUAUCCGGAUUUAUUGGGUUUAAAGGGUGCGUAGGCGGUUCGAUAAGUUAGAGGUGAAAUCCCGGGGCUCAACUCCGGCACUGCCUCUGAAACUGGGGGGCUUGAGUUUAGUUGCGGUAGGCGGAAUGUAUGGUGUAGCGGUGAAAUGCAUAGAGAUCAGGCAGAACACCGAUUGCGAAGGCAGCUUGCCAAGCUACGACUGACGUUGAGGCACGAAAGCGUGGGGAGCAAACAGGAUUAGAUACCCGUGUAGUC
rnacentral:rRNA from 1 species